GACGAACGCUGGCGGCGUGCCUAAUACAUGCAAGUCGAACGCAGUGGGGACGGGUGAGUAACACGUGGGUAACCUCCCAUCAGAGGGGAUAACACUUGGAAACAGGUGCUAAACCGCUACUGAUGGAUGGACCCGCGGUGCAUUAGCUAGUUGGUGAGGUAACGGCUCACCAAGGCCACGAUGCAUAGCAGAAGUGAGAGGGUGAUGGGCCACACGGGGAAUGAGAAACGGCCCAGACGCCUACGGGAGGCAGCAGUAGGGAAUAUUCGGCAAUGGACGAAAGUCUGACCGAGCAACGCCGCGUGAGUGAAGAAGGUUUUCGGAUCGUAAAACUCUGUUGUUAGAGAAGCGGUAUCUAACCAGAAAGCCACGGCUAACUACGUGCCAGCCGCCGCGGUAAUUC
rnacentral:rRNA from 1 species